AUUGAACGCUGGCGGCAGGCCUAACACAUGCAAGUCGAGCGGAUGAAGAGAGCUUGCUCUCUGAUUUAGCGGCGGACGGGUGAGUAAUGCCUAGGAAUCUGCCUGGUAGUGGGGGAUAACGUUCCGAAAGGAACGCUAAUACCGCAUACGUCCUACGGGAGAAAGCAGGGGACCUUCGGGCCUUGCGCUAUCAGAGGAGCCUAGGUCGGAUUAGCUAGUUGGUGAGGUAAUGGCUCACCAAGGCUACGAUCCGUAACUGGUCUGAGAGGAUGAUCAGUCACACUGGAACUGAGACACGGUCCAGACUCCUACGGGAGGCAGCAGUGGGGAAUAUUGGACAAUGGGCGAAAGCCUGAUCCAGCCAUGCCGCGUGUGUGAAGAAGGUCUUCGGAUUGUAAAGCACUUUAAGUUGGGAGGAAGGGCAGUAAGUUAAUACCUUGCUGUUUUGACGUUACCGACAGAAUAAGCACCGGCUAACUUCGUGCCAGCAGCCGCCGUAACAC
rnacentral:rRNA from 1 species